UGAACUCAUGAGGCUCUCUCAAACAGAUGCGGGUUUCCCGCUUGAGAGAGCCGAGGUUUAGAGAAAGCUUUAAAAACCCACUUAGGUGAAUAGAGUUAGGU
rfam:Thermococcus sibiricus MM 739, complete genome.